GCCAGUGGCGAUAGCUUGCUGAAUGCACCAGUUCUCAAUGGUUCACUCAAGUUGAGCUACGAUGUGCAUGGUUGGUAUCCGGAUAAGUGACCACCUGGGCAAUCGUGUGCUGUGGCG
rfam:Asian citrus Psyllid, Diaphorina citri - Florida Strain, whole genome shotgun sequence.